rnacentral:rRNA from 1 species
UACGUAGGGUGCAAGCGUUGUCCGGAAUCAUUGGGCGUAAAGGGCGCGUAGGUGGCCCGGUCAGUUCGUGGUGAAAGCGCGGGGCUCAACCCUGCGUCGGCCAUGAAUACUGCCGCGGCUGGAGCACUGUAGAGGCAGGCGGAAUUCCGGGGUGUAGCGGUGGAAUGCGUAGAGAUCCGGAAGAACACCGGUGGCGAAGGCGGCCUGCUGGGCAGUUGCUGGACACUGGAGGCGCG